rnacentral:rRNA from 1 species
AACAAACGCUGGCGGCGUGCCUAAUACAUGCAAGUCGAACGAGAAAGCACUUCGGUGUGAGUACAGUGGCGCACGGGUGAGUAAUACGUGGAUAAUCUGCCUUUAGGUGGGGAAUAACUAGUCGAAAGAUUAGCUAAUACCGCAUGAGACCACAGUAUCUAAGGAUACAGGGGUUAAAGUUUAAUGCCUAAAGAUGAGUCUGCGUCCGAUUAGCUAGUUGGUGAGGUAAAAGCUUACCAAGGCGACGAUCGGUAGCUGGUCUGAGAGGAUGAUCAGCCACACUGGAACUGAGACACGGUCCAGACUCCUACGGGAGGCAGCAGUAGGGAAUAUUGCACAAUGGAGGAAACUCUGAUGCAGCGACGCCGCGUGAGUGAUGAAGGCCUGG